UACGGAGGGGGCUAGCGUUGUUCGGAAUUACUGGGCGUAAAGCGCGCGUAGGCGGACCUGCAAGUCGGGGGUGAAAGCCCGAGGCUCAACCUCGGAACUGCCUUCGAUACUGCGGGUCUCGAGUCCGGAAGAGGUGAGUGGAAUUCCUAGUGUAGAGGUGAAAUUCGUAGAUAUUAGGAAGAACACCAGUGGCGAAGGCGGCUCACUGGUCCGGUACUGACGCGUGAGGUGCGAAAGCGUGGGGAGCAAACAGG
rnacentral:rRNA from 1 species